rfam:Globodera pallida, Lindley, WGS project CBXT01000000 data, contig: pathogens_Gpal_scaffold_643_contig_1
GCGUCGUUGGUGCAGUGGCAGCAUUGCUGCCUUCCAAGCAGUAGGGGCGGGUUCGAUUCCCGCACGACGCA